ACCAGAAGCACUCGAAGAUUCCCAAUAGAAUUUACAAUCAUGUAUCCAUCUCCAUUGUUCUUCCCUCAGGAUCUCAUCACCGAGGUGUUAUCUGUUCUUAAUGUUAAAUCUAUUUUGCGAUUCAGGUGCGUUAGCAAAUUCUGGGACGCUCUGAUUUCAGAUCCCACCUUUGUGAAAUUGCAUCUCAAAAGAUCAGCAAAGCGAAAUGCCCAAUUCAUUUUAAUUACCGGUCAUUCAAAACAUAUCCGAGGCGAGUCACCAUAUGGAAGUGAUGAUGAAUGCGAGCAUGAGUGGGGUGUCAUUCCCUAUUCCAUUAGCAGUUUGGUUGACAAUCCGUCCUUCAACCUUUCUGUCGACUCUUAUCAGCUGGUAGAAGACAAAGGAUGCUCUCGUAUAGUUGGUUCUUGCAAUGGAUUGAUCUGUUUAGCUGGCGACUACUUGAUCCGUGAGUAUAAAGACCACUGGCUUCGAUUGUGGAACCCAGCCACUAGGACAACAUCCCCAAAAUUUGGGUGUGUUCGCGAAUUUCGCAAUCCACUAGAUAUUUUCGCCUAUGAUCGCCGUUAUAAAUACACAUUUGGCUGGGAUGAAUCUACCGACACUUACAAGGUAGUUGCCUCAGAAUUCAAGGAACCUGAAAUGAGAAGCAAUGUGAGAAUUCUGAGUUUGGCUGAUAAUGUUUGGAGAAAAAUUGAAAGUUUCCCAGUUGAACCCAUGGGUUCAGACUUAUCUAUGGACAGCGGUUAUAAUGUCAAGAAUACCCAGAUAUUAUUUAUAAUUGGAGAAAUAAUAAUGUAGUGCGAACAAACAUUAAUGUAAGGAAAACAGUUACUGAUGGCCAAACGUACGAUUCUGUCUCAUGCUCUGCCAAUGGCUAUUUUGAAAGCUUAGUUUCAGGAGUUGUCGGGGGAAUUCAGAGCUUCGAGAACAAGAGUUAAGGCAGUGUCGGGGGAGAAAGAAUUCAGAAGAAAAUGGUUUGAGUUAGAUAAGAGUUUUGUAUCUGGGCCUGAAAAAUUUGACCUGUUUUGACAUCAAGUGCA